AACAUGUCUGUUUGAAGAUAUAAAAAGUCCGACCUGCCCACUGAUGAUAUUUAAAGGGCCGCGGUAUACUGACCGUGCAAAGGUAGCAUAAUAGUUAGGUUUUUAAUUGAGAUCUUGUAUGAAUGGUUUGACAAAGAAAAACCUGUCUUUGUGUCCAACGAUUGAAAUUAACUUUUAAGUGAAAAGGCUUAAAUAAUUUGAGGGGACGAUAAGACCCUAUAAAACUUUAUAUAAAGUUCAUAUUCGAUUAAAUUUUAAUGUUAAUAAAAAUCGGAUGUUAGCUUUAUAUUCUGUUGGGGCGACAAAAAUAAAAUUGAUAGCAACUGUUUAAAUAAUUAGACAAAAAUAUUUGAUUAUAUAAUUAAAUGAUCCUAAUUAAAGAUUAAAAGUUUAAGUUACUUUAGGGAUAACAGCGUUAUUUUUUUUGAGAGUUCUUAUCGAAAAAAGAGUUUGCGACCUCGAUGUUGAAUUAAAAUUUCUAUACAAUUGCAGAAGUUGUAUAAGAAGGUCUGUUCGACCUUUAAAUUUUUACGUGAUCU
rnacentral:rRNA from 1 species